AUUGAACGCUGGCGGCAUGCCUUACACGUGCAAGUCGCACGGCAGCACCGGGGCAACCCUGGUGGCGAGUGGCGAACGGGUGAGUAAUGCAUCGGAACGUGUCCUCUUGUGGGGGAUAAUCAGACGACAGAUUGGCUAAUAACGCAUGAGAUCGCAAUACGAAAGCGGUGGACCGCAAGGCCUCGCGAGAGGGGAGCGGACGAUGCGGGAUUAGCUAGUUGGUGGGGUAAAAGCCUACCAAGGCGACAAUCCGUAGCUGGUCUGAGAGGACGACCAGCCACACUGGGACUGAGACACGGCCCAGACUCCUACGGGAGGCAGCAGUGGGGAAUUUUGGACAAUGGGCGCAAGCCUGAUCCAGCCAUGCCGCGUGUGUGAAGAAGGCCUUCGGGUUGUAAAGCACUUUCGGACGGAACGAAAUCGCGCGGACGAACAUUCCGCGUGGAUGACGUUACCGUAAGAAGAAGCACCGGCUAACUACGUGCCAGCCGCCGCCGUAA
rnacentral:rRNA from 1 species